CCUACGGGUGGCAGCAGUGGGGAAUAUUGCACAAUGGGGGAAACCCUGAUGCAGCGACGCCGCGUGAGUGAAGAAGGAUUUCGGUAUGUAAAGCUCUAUCAGCAGGGAAGAAAAUGACGGUACCUGACUAAGAAGCCGCGGCUAACUACGUGCCAGCGGCCGCGGUAAUACGUAGGGGGCAAGCGUUAUCCGGAUUUACUGGGUGUAAAGGGAGCGUAGACGGCAGCACAAGUCUGGAGUGAAAUGCCGGGGCUUAACCCCGGAGCUGCUUUGGAAACUGUGCAGCUAGAGUGCAGGAGAGGUAAGUGGAAUUCCUAGUGUAGCGGUGAAAUGCGUAGAUAUUAGGAGGAACACCAGUGGCGAAGGCGGCUUACUGGACUGUAACUGACGUUGAGGCUCGAAAGCGUGGGGAGCAAACAGGAUUAGAUACCCCUGUAGUC
rnacentral:rRNA from 1 species